CCUGUUCCCCCUGACAGCUCGGCACUCGUGAAAUCUAUUUAUAAACCAGGUUGCUGUAAUUCGUGGGAGGCGAGAAGGGCUCCGACAUGGAGGGGCGCCGGUGCCAGAGCCGCAGAGGUGAAGGAGCGAAGGAGCGAAGUACCGUCCUCGCGGCCGCGCGCGCCGUCCUUCCUGUGGCGCCAAGCUGGGCCGGCUUCCCGUCUUGGUAGAUCCGUGGCUGUGAGGAGAUGGAUCCACGGCUGUUUGGGGAGGCCGGACAGGCUCCUGCAGGGCGGCUUUCGCUUUCCUCGUGCCUCCCUCUGUGACUGCUGACGUAGCGAAUGGCACAUGGUGCCACGUGGCCAAC